GUGGGGAUUGUUGGGAUUUAGAGAGAACUUUUACAUGAGAUUUUGUCAGCUUGGAUAGCUCUCAUUUGAGAGUUGAGCAAAGGGGAAGGCUUCUUCAGUUGGUUUGCAAUCAGACACGAGCUGGUGAAGCGGAAUCAUCUAAAAUUCCAAUUAAGUCUCGAGUUAGCAUGCGAAGGGUUGAAAAGAUAAGUUGGGAGAAUAUUUGUGUGGCCAGUGGAAUUGGAAGAGCUUUUUUUUUAUUUUUGGCUUCCUUUUGUUGUAGUUUAGGUGGCCAAGAUUGGGUUG
rnacentral:lncRNA from 1 species